rnacentral:lncRNA from 1 species
ACAAAUGAAGAACCGGCAUAGCAGGAAGGAAUAUCAAACUCAUUAAUGGGAUUUGAGGGUCACCAAUUGAAAUACUGCUUAAAUCAGCUGGAGGAUGAAGAGGGCGAAUUAUAAGAUGCAAGAAGACAUGCUGACAAGAGUCCUAUCUUCAUGAAAAUGGAUGAUUCUGUAGGUUUCUGAACACAUGGACAUUCAUCUUAUAUUUUCCUGAGGCUAUUGGCAAGUGACUCUGGCUGAAAAGUUUAAAACAAAGAUGAAAAAUUUGGAGUCUAGUGAAAAGAAGUGACUUGCUCAAAAUCACACAGCACAUGAAGAACAGAGCCUCUAUGAUGAAUUUCUUGACAGGAUCCCAUUGAGGAUGCCACAUUAUGUUUCAUUGCCAUGUCUCCAUAGACUCUUCUUGGUUGUGAUGGUUUCUCACGCUUUUCUUGGUUUUGAAGACGUUGACAAUUUUCUUCCAUUGGGAUUUGCUUGAUGCUUUUCUCAUGAUUACACUGGAACUGUGACUUUUUAGAAGGAAGAUCAUAGAGGAGAAGAAACUGAGGUUCAAGGACUAGUAACCAGCAGCAGAUCACACAGCUGGAAGACAACUAAGAGCAAAAAAACGUUAGUCUUUUGAUGGCUAUAUCAGGCCAUGUUCUUCCCAGUACAGCAAACCUGAACCUCUGUGGAUGAUGAUUAAAAAGAGAAAUACAGUCUCAUCUUAGAGAUUAUCCUUGUCUUUCCUAGACAUUAUUAUUUUCACUUAAAAAAGUUGAAGCCUUACUUACAUCAAAAGAGGCACAAUUAAAGUGCUAAGAAAUCACUGCAGACAGAGAACCUGACACUGACAAGGAGAAUUACAUAUGCAUCAAUGAGGAGCUGGCAUUUUGGCUCAGUCUAGAAGUCAUAGGAAUUUUCCUGGAGAAAGUUUUUUCAAAGUGAAUAGCAUAUGCAAAAAUGGCACUUUGCUGAGAAGAAUUCUGAGGUCCUGUUUGAUGUCAACAGAAAGAAAUGCUAUAAUCAAUGUGUAAUGACAGCCAUACUAGUGACAAUAAGACCAGUCACAACAGAUGGAGGACUCAAUGCUUAUGUUGGAGAAGGAAGCUACAUUGUCCCUGAGUUCAUGGAAAUGUCAAGUCUAGAAGAUGGAAAAGUUCAGUUAAUAUCUCCAGAGACCCACA